CCUACGGGAGGCAGCAGUGGGGAAUAUUGGGCAAUGGGCGCAAGCCUGACCCAGCAACGCCGCGUGAAGGAAGAAGGCUUUCGGGUUGUAAACUUCUUUUCUCAGGGACGAAGAAAGUGACGGUACCUGAGGAAUAAGCCACGGCUAACUACGUGCCAGCAGCCGCGGUAAUAAGUAGGUGGCAAGCGUUAUCCGGAUGUAUUGGGUGUAAAGGGGGUGUAGGCGGAAGCGCAAGUCAGAUGUGAAACCCCAGGGCUCAACCCUGGGCCUGUAUUUGAAACUGUGUUUCUUGAGUGCUGGAGAGGCAAUCGGAAUUCCGGGGGUAGCGGUGAAAUGCGUAGAUAUACGGAGGAACACCAGUGGCGAAGGUGGAUUACUGGACAGUAACUGACGCUGAGGCGCGAAAGCGUGGGGAGCAAACAGGAUUAGAUACCCCUGUAGUC
rnacentral:rRNA from 1 species